UGAAUCAAUGAUGACUGCUGGUGGCGUAUGAGUCUUACAUGGUGAAUAUGUGUCUGGAACUCUGAGGUCCAU
ensembl:snoRNA SNORD114-9 small nucleolar RNA, C/D box 114-9